ensembl:snRNA U6 U6 spliceosomal RNA
GAACUGGCUCGGGUAGCACAUAUACUCACGUUGGAAUGAUACAGAAAGUAAUAUUAGCCUGGCCCCUGCACAAGGAUGACCCACAAAUUCGUGAAACUCCAGAGAACUCC